rnacentral:rRNA from 1 species
AUGAACGCUAGCGACAGGCUUAACACAUGCAAGUCGAGGGGCAGCACAGGUAGCAAUACCGGGUGGCGACCGGCGCACGGGUGAGUAACGCGUAUGCAACUUACCUAUCAGAGGGGGAUAACCCGGCGAAAGUCGGACUAAUACCGCAUGAAGCAGGGGCCCCGCAUGGGGAUAUUUGCUAAAGAUUCAUCGCUGAUAGAUAGGCAUGCGUUCCAUUAGGCAGUUGGCGGGGUAACGGCCCACCAAACCGACGAUGGAUAGGGGUUCUGAGAGGAAGGUCCCCCACAUUGGUACUGAGACACGGACCAAACUCCUACGGGAGGCAGCAGUGAGGAAUAUUGGUCAAUGGCCGAGAGGCUGAACCAGCCAAGUCGCGUGAGGGAUGAAGGUUCUAUGGAUCGUAAACCUCUUUUAUAAGGGAAUAAAGUGCGGGACGUGUCCCGUUUUGUAUGUACCUUAUGAAUAAGGAUCGGCUAACUCCGUGCCAGCAGCCGCGGUAAUACGGAGGAUCCGAGCGUUAUCCGGAUUUAUUGGGUUUAAAGGGUGCGUAGGCGGCCUUUUAAGUCAGCGGUGAAAGUCUGUGGCUCAACCAUAGAAUUGCCGUUGAAACUGGGGGGCUUGAGUAUGUUUGAGGCAGGCGGAAUGCGUGGUGUAGCGGUGAAAUGCAUAGAUAUCACGCAGAACCCCGAUUGCGAAGGCAGCCUGCCAAGCCAUUACUGACGCUGAUGCACGAAAGCGUGGGGAUCAAACAGGAUUAGAUACCCUGGUAGUCCACGCAGUAAACGAUGAUCACUAGCUGUUUGCGAUACACUGUAAGCGGCACAGCGAAAGCGUUAAGUGAUCCACCUGGGGAGUACGCCGGCAACGGUGAAACUCAAAGGAAUUGACGGGGGCCCGCACAAGCGGAGGAACAUGUGGUUUAAUUCGAUGAUACGCGAGGAACCUUACCCGGGUUUGAACGCAUUCGGACCGAGGUGGAAACACCUUUUCUAGCAAUAGCCGUUUGCGAGGUGCUGCAUGGUUGUCGUCAGCUCGUGCCGUGAGGUGUCGGCUUAAGUGCCAUAACGAGCGCAACCCUUGCCACUAGUUACUAACAGGUAAAGCUGAGGACUCUGGUGGGACUGCCAGCGUAAGCUGCGAGGAAGGCGGGGAUGACGUCAAAUCAGCACGGCCCUUACAUCCGGGGCGACACACGUGUUACAAUGGCGUGGACAAAGGGAAGCCACCUGGCGACAGGGAGCGAAUCCCCAAACCACGUCUCAGUUCGGAUCGGAGUCUGCAACCCGACUCCGUGAAGCUGGAUUCGCUAGUAAUCGCGCAUCAGCCAUGGCGCGGUGAAUACGUUCCCGGGCCUUGUACACACCGCCCGUCAAGCCAUGGGAGCCGGGGGUACCUGAAGUCCGUAACCGCGAGGAUCGGCCUAGGGUAAAAC